rnacentral:rRNA from 1 species
CCUACGGGAGGCUGCAGUGAGGAAUAUUGGUCAAUGGGCUUACGCCUGAACCAGCCAAGUCGCGUGAGGGAAGACUGCUCUAUGGGUUGUAAACCUCUUUUGUCAGGGAGCAACGCCGGCUACGUGUAGCCGGACUGAGAGUACCUGAAGAAAAAGCAUCGGCUAACUCCGUGCCAGCAGCCGCGGUAAUACGGAGGAUGCGAGCGUUAUACGGAUUGAUUGGGUUUAAGGGGUGCGUAGGCGGAAUGCCAAGUCAGCGGUAAAAUCGCGGGGCUCAACCUCGCUCCGACGUUGAAACUGGCGUUCUUGAGUGGGCGAGAAGUAUACGGAAUGCGUGGUGUAGCGGUGAAAUGCAUAGAUAUCACGCAGAACUCCGAUUGCGAAGGCAGCAUACCGGCGCCCAACUGACGCUGAAGCACGAAAGCGUGGGUAUCGAACAGGAUUAGAUACCCGUGUAGUC